rnacentral:sRNA from 1 species
AUAAAAAUACUUUGAAAGUUAGUAAACUUGAUAGUAAGGAAGAAAAGUGAGGUGCUAGUUGAUGGUUCUCCUUCAUGGAUCUGUAGCUAAUUAGAGGGGUGCCUCCCAGUGCAAUUUCCCUUUCCAGUUGAAGCAGCUGCUAAGCCCUGAGCUGCCACCUCCUAUCCCUGCAGUACCAGUACUGGAACACCAAGGCUCGGCGCAACGAGUUUACCGUACUGGAGCUCUAUGAGGGCACCGAGCAAUACAACGCCACCGCCUUCAGCUCCCUGGACCGCCCCCAGCUGCCCCAGGUCCUCCAGCAGUCCUAUAUCUUCCCGUCCUCCAUCAGUGCCAUGGAGGCCACCAUCACCGAACGGGGCAUCACCAGCCGACACCUGCUGAUUGGACUACCUUCUGGAGCAAUUCUUUCCCUUCCUAAGGCUUUGCUGGAUCCCCGCCGCCCCGAGAUCCCAACAGAACAAAGCAGAUGUACAGAUACACGCAGAGCGAUUCAUCAACUAUAACCAGACAGUUUCUCGAAU